GAACUGCGAUAAGUAAUGUGAAUUGCAGAAUUCAGUGAAUCAUCGAGUCUUUGAACGCACAUUGCGCCCCCUGGCAUUCCGGGGGGCAUGCCUGUCCGAGCGUCAUUGCUGCCCUUCAAGCCCGGCUUGUGUGUUGGGUCGUCGUCCCCUCCGGGGGACGGGCCCGAAAGGCAGCGGCGGCACCGCGUCCGGUCCUCGAGCGUAUGGGGCUUUGUCACCCGCUCGAUAAGGACCGGCCGGGCGCCAGCCGGCGUCUCCAACCUUUUUUUCUCAGGUUGACCUCAGAUCAGGUAGGGAUACCCGCUGAACUUAAGC
rnacentral:misc_RNA from 1 species